rnacentral:rRNA from 1 species
UACAGAGGUCCCAAGCGUUGUUCGGAUUCAUUGGGCGUAAAGGGUGCGUAGGCGGCGCGGUAAGUCGGGUGUGAAAUCUCGGAGCUUAACUCCGAAACUGCAUUCGAUACUGCCGUGCUUGAGGACUGGAGAGGAGACUGGAAUUUACGGUGUAGCGGUGAAAUGCGUAGAUAUCGGAAGGAAGACCAGUGGCGAAGGCGGGUCUCUGGACAGUUCCUGACGCUGAGGCACGAAGGCCAGGGGAGCAGACGGG